ACCAAGACAAAUCAGACCAAUCUUAAGACAACAUGAACCACCAAACCAAUAUUAAGACAAUUCCAACUACCAGACCAAGACUAAUCAGCCAAUCUUAUGACAACAUGAACCACCAAACCAAUAUUAAGACAAUUCCAACUACCAGACCAAGACUAAUCAGCCAAUCUUAUGACAACAUGAACCACCAAACCAAUAUUAAAACAAUUCCAACUACCAGACCAAGACAAAUCAGCC
rnacentral:lncRNA from 1 species